GAUGAACGCUGGCGGCGUGCUUAACACAUGCAAGUCGAACGGAAAGGCCCAAGCUUGCUUGGGUACUCGAGUGGCGAACGGGUGAGUAACACGUGGGUGAUCUGCCCUGCACUUCGGGAUAAGCCUGGGAAACUGGGUCUAAUACCGGAUAGGACCACUUCUUGGAUGUUGUGGUGGAAAGUUUUUUCGGUGUGGGAUGAGCUCGCGGCCUAUCAGCUUGUUGGUGGGGUAAUGGCCUACCAAGGCGUCGACGGGUAGCCGGCCUGAGAGGGUGUACGGCCACAUUGGGACUGAGAUACGGCCCAGACUCCUACGGGAGGCAGCAGUGGGGAAUAUUGCACAAUGGGCGCAAGCCUGAUGCAGCGACGCCGCGUGGGGGAUGACGGCCUUCGGGUUGUAAACUCCUUUCGCUAGGGACGAAGCGUUUUGUGACGGUACCUGGAGAAGAAGCACCGGCUAACUACG
rnacentral:rRNA from 1 species